UUGGUUUAAAGUGGAGGGAAGAAUAGAUGCGGCGCCAAUGAAGUUUUGAUAUAUAUGCAUGAUGGGUUCAGCUGCCUUAUUUAAUUAGCUGAGCCAAAACCUACAUAUACGGAUGCAUAAGCUAGCUUUGCGCUCGCCAUGAAUACACCCCCUCCAUGGCGCAGAGGAAACGAAGAGAGGACCGGUGAGGCUUGCGCCAUCAGCUCCUCCUGGCGAUGCGAAUAGACAAGGAGGAGCCGUGCAUCAAAUCAAUUCUUCCGAGACAGCUUCAAGGCCGAGCAGAGAGCUCUAAACGAAAACAUGGAGAGACUAACACGACAACGGAACUCACUUGGACAAGGAAUCCUGUAGGAAAUCUCCAUCCAAGCUAACACGAUCCACAAGCUCGUUGAAAAUGGGAGCCAACUCGCACGCCUGACUCCAGAAAGAUUCCGGGAGACGCGCCGGGAGCAGGGAGAUUGGAGCAUGGACCAAGCCAACUCCAGGAACUGUUCCUGAUCUCUGCAAGAGGACAUCAAAAAUGUUUGGUCAGGACAGUAGCUUACGAUCCAUCCGAAGUUCCGUUCGUCACAUCAAAGUCCCGCACAAAGAUUGCGCAUCAGGUGCCCCGACCUUAGCAGAUUGAUUGAACCGAGGAGACCACUCAGACCAGGAGCCAAGAACCUUACCUGCUCAGCUCGGUCCCCUACGACGAGUCCGUGCAUCGCGCACCACGCUGUCGCGUCCCGCGCCAUCUCCUCCACGGCCGCGGGGUCCGGCGACGGCGGGUUUCCCUUGGCGGUGCUCAUCGCCGGCAGUGGUGGGGCGCGCGCAGAAUUUCUGGGUAAUUUGAGGGGAUAUAUUUGGCAGCUUCACUUUCAGUUAGGAGUAUAAUGUUUGGAAGCUGGAACUUUAUAGCUGUGGUGGGGAUUGGAAUUCCUAUGAAAAGGGAGGGGGCUGCGCAGAAGUAGCAGGGUCAGCAUUGGUCUCUGUAAAGAGUCUGUGCGCCUGUCGCUUUCUCUGCUUGGGCAGCCUCCAUUCCAACAUUGAAAUUCAGAGAAAUUUUGGUUGAUUAAAAUGCAGAGAAAUUUCACUUUCUCUUUAUCAAUUCAAAUCUUACACUUACAA